GUCGGGGCACCGCCGAAUCCGUGUACGUCGCGGAGCCGGGGAACCAGGUUCGUCGGCGCGGCCCGCGCGGUAAGCGAGGGUGGCGCCAGUGGGGUGAAUCGGUCGGCGUGCACUCGCCGUCGUGUGUGCGCGUGCGACCGUAGGGCUACUUCUUCAGUCCGAAUCCGUCAGCUAACCCGGUAGGCGGACAAGGAGGAGAU
rnacentral:sRNA from 2 species